GAACGGGUGUACGGGAUGGAAGAUUUCGGUCGGAAGCCCCGUGCAAGAGUGGCGGACGGGUGAGUAACGCGUGGGCAACCUGCCCUGUACAGGGGGACAACACUUAGAAAUAGGUGCUAAUACCGCAUAACGGGGGGAGCCGCAUGGCUUUCCCCUGAAAACUCCGGUGGUACAGGAUGGGCCCGCGUCUGAUUAGCUGGUUGGCAGGGUAACGGCCUACCAAGGCGACGAUCAGUAGCCGGCCUGAGAGGGCGGACGGCCACACUGGGACUGAGACACGGCCCAGACUCCUACGGGAGGCAGCAGUGGGGGAUAUUGCACAAUGGGGGGAACCCUGAUGCAGCGACGCCGCGUGGGUGAAGGAGCGUUUCGGCGCGUAAAGCCCUAUCGGCAGGGAAGAAGGAGGACGGUACCUGACUAAGAAGCCCCGGCUAACUACGUGCCAGCAGCCGCGGUAAUACGUAGGGGGCAAGCGUUAUCCGGAUUUACUGGGUGUAAAGGGGGCGCAGACGGCAGCGCAAGCCAGGAGUGAAAGCCCCGGGGCCCAACCCCGGGACUGCUCUUGGA
rnacentral:rRNA from 1 species